rnacentral:rRNA from 1 species
GACGAACCGUGCAAACGUUGUUCGGAAUCACUGGGCUUAAAGGGCGCGUAGGCGGGCUCGCCAGUCUGUGGUGAAAGCCCCCGGCUUAACCGGGGAAGUGCCGUGGAUACUGCGAGCCUCGAGGAGGGUAGGGGCAUCUGGAACAGCCGGUGGAGCGGUGAAAUGCGUUGAUAUCGGCUGGAACUCCGGUGGCGAAGGCGAGGUGCUGGACCCUUUCUGACGCUGAUGCGCGAAAGCCAGGGGAGCAAACGGG